UUGAGCUAGACAGUUCCUAGCCUUACUUGCCAAGCUUAGUGCAGAGCAACAACUACAACUCAAUCUUAGCUCACAACACCGUCACUCUCCUGCAGUCGACGAGUCAGUAAUAGGCCUGAUAGAGAAUGCAAGGGUCCUCACAGUAGACACUUAUCCCUAAGAUCAACAAUGGCAUGAGAACCUCUGCUAAGUUUGGUCUUUGCUCAGAAACGUAUCCCAAUACUCUUUUCCAAAACAGUAGAAUCAUCAUAAAAAUAUGACAUUCAGAUAUAGUUUUUCAAAAUACACAGUUGUCUGUUCUUAGAAAAGAUUUAGGCUUGUAUACAUUGUCGGCAAUGAUAUUGUACUAUCAUAGGUUACACAAACAUACAGAAGUUGUACAACCUAUGUAAAAAAAUGUAAAUGGUUUUAUGGUUUGGGCCAUAAAAUAGCUUGGCAUCAUUGCAAAAAUGCACUGGUGAAACCCUUUGGAGAUCCUUACAGAGUUCACAGAAGAGGACAUUGACAUUACGGCAGAAACUGGGGGCAGUGAAGUACUGGUAAUCCGUGUCUUAGCACAAAUUGAUAGGUGUCAGCAAUCAUCUGUCACAUAGUUCUCACCAAUCCAGCCAUGGCAGAUCAGUGAAUUCAUCCAGGACGAGAGGAAGGAACGACCUUUGAAAAGGGCCUGUUUCUUCUGGAAUGCACCCCUUUCAAAGAACACAGGGAAAUGACACUCACAAGAGAAAAAAAGCCUUCCUCUACAAACCUGCCAGUUCUGCGUAUUGACUCUCACCAGAGAAACCAUAACUGCCAUUAAUCAUAGGGCUGGGACGAUACCGGUAUUGAGAUACUCGUUAGUAUAGUGGCAAGGAAACAAAACAAAAAGCAGAUUUAACUUCUUUAGGAGAACCCCCACUGCUGUAAACAAACAUCAUUAUGUGGUCAUCUAGAGUUACAUUUUUUUUUCAAGGUAUAUCGCACAAUAUUUUACAUAUAGCAGGUUUUUAGAGGACCGAAGAGUUUGAUCUGCUUCGUGUUUCCAUUUUUCCCAUGGAACAAAUAUUGCGAUAUUGGUAUCGUCGCAGCCCUAAUUAAUCAUCUGUCACUUUUGGGGCUUUGUAGGGGGGAUAGAGCGAGAGAGUGAGAGCUAACAUUUGUCCUCAACACAAAAGCUCCUGGCUGCUGGGGUGUGGGGAGUCGACUAAUUACUUUAUUAAUCAUAGGGCAGGGAUGAUACCAGUAUUGAGAUACUCGUUAGUAUAGUGGCAAGGAAACAAAACACCAAGUAAAUUUAACUUCUUUAGGAGAACACCCACUGCUGGAAACAAACAUCAUUAUGUUGUCAUCUAGAGUUAAAAAAAAUUCAAGGUAUAUCGCAUAAUAUUUUACAUACAGCAGGUUUUUAGAGGACCAAAGACUUUGAUCUGCUUCGUGUUUUCAUUUUGCCAUGUAAAAAAUAUUGCGAUAUUGGUAUCGUCGCAGCCCUAAUUAAUCAUCUGUCACUUUUGGGGCUUUGUAGGGGGGAUAGAGCGAGAGAGUGGGGGCUAGCAUUUGUCCUCAACACAAAAGCUCCUGGCUGCUGGGGUGUCGGGAGUCGACUAAUUACUUUAUCACAUUUUGUCUUCAGACAAUAAAUGAACAAAUCAAUGAAGCGAACAUCUGUGGAGCACCUUGUAAUAGCACAUGUGCCUCCUUAGCAGAUUUCACACUGGGAGAGAAUAGGCUGGACAGCGAAGGUAUAGGAGAUAUUUUUUCAGAUGCCAGGUGUCAGUGCCAAGGGAUGGGCUUCGACUCAAAUAUGUGAUCAGCGGGACAAUGAAAACCAGGGAUCUAUCCUAAAUGGCACCAGAUUUAUAGUACACUUCUUUUGAAAAGGGCCCAUAAGACUCUGUUAAAAAGUAGUGCAUGAAUAGGGUGCCAUUCGGGAUGCUUUCUAAGGGAUAAAACAAUAUUAGUUUGGAGGUAGGUACAUUUCAAAGGAUGCAGGACUAAAAGGUGCUAUAGGAUAUCAGAAAUUCAGAAUAAGAGAAAAUGUCAUCUUUUUUGACUUGAUUUGGUAAGCAAACACAUUGAUCUAAUAUAAAAAGACUGAGGUGAGGAUUUUUAGAUAUAAACCUAUUAUUCCUCUUCUUGGUAUGACACAUCAAUGUCUGACCAGAGGUCUCUCUCAACUGCACAAGUUUAUAAUCAUAUUUAAUAUAGAACCUGGGUUGUGUUCCCACAUAAAACAAUUUGCAACAGAAAGCAAACAUGAGUGAUUAUUACUGGAACAAACCCAGGUUGACCCUCCACUUUCUGCCUUUAGGUACAUAAUGUACGCGACACCGAUGACUCAUAACCAUUAGCGGUAGUUUAACCCUCCUUAUUGAAACACAUUUAUUUCAUACCAAGAUGAACCAAGACAAACCCAAUUGGAACAUGUUGAUGUGAUGAUUGAUUGGUCAAGAUAAAGACAAACGUAAAAGGGAUCUAUAAUGCACAACAUGUUAUCCAAUCUUAAUUAGAUAUAAUUUUAUCAUGGACAUAUUAAAUGAAUUAGGCUUAUACUGUUUGCCCCCAAGCACUACUAGUGUUGUCUGGUGAUCCAUCAAGAUGUCAUUUUAUCAACAAGUUCUCUCAGUACUUUCCACCAUUUUACAAUUAAAGAUAGUCUAGUUCCCUUGCUAUUUUUUGACAUAACAUUUUGAUUUGAGUAUUGGCUGUAUGUUUCGUAUAUAUAAUUGUAAUAAUGGGGCGUUGAGUCAGAAGCAGGUGCAGGUGAAACUUUUGAAUAAAACAAAAAAAACAAGAACAUGACACUAACAUAAGGCAGACCACCAAUACACAAGAACAAUGCCAACUGGUGAGUGAACCUGGGAGAGUGACCUAUAAUGGGGAGGAAAUAAUGAAGGUAAUGGAGUCCAGGUGGGAAUCAUAAUGAUUCACAGGUGCGCGUAAUGAUGAGUGCCAGGUGUGCGUAAUGAUGAAUCCCAGGACCGGUGGUUAGUACUCUGGCAAAGUCGUACGCCGGGGGGAGGAACAGGAGCAGACGUGACAGUAAGGCCCCCCUCCCCUCUGACGUGCGGCUCCAGCCGCAGGACGCGCCGACCAGGGGGACGACCCCGAGGACGAAAACGGGUCUGUGGAAAUCACGGAUGAUGUUGGGGUCCAGAAUGUCCUCCACCGGAACCCAACACUGCUUCUCUGGGCCAUACCCCUCCCAGUACACAAGAUACUGGAGCCGACCCCCAUAACAUCGGGAGUCCAGUAGGGAUCUGACAGAGUACGCCGGAGGGGAGGAGCAGGAGCAGACGUGACAAUAAUAUUAAUACAUUUAUUAACUCAUGAAAUCACACAAAUCCUUAGUUUCUGGUAAAUGUAUAUAUAUUUUCUCACGGUUGUGGGGAAGUGUGCAAUGAGGUAUUUUAUGAACAAUAUUCCUGUCCAUAUUGAGGAUCCUUUUUGCACCCCCAGAAGCAAAAUAUCUAUAUUGCCUUUUUAACGUACUGUCGUCAUAGUAUAUUUGACAUGACUACAACUGUUUUGAGUAAAAAGAGCAGAAACACCCAAAUAAAGAGAAACACCCAACUGCAUUCGCCAUCCACAGUCAUAACAGACAACUCCAAAUAUCAUGGCUGACUUCAGAUGUGCUCGUCACAUCCACCCGGCGACUAACCUUCUCUGGCCAAUCCAAAUCGGAUAAGAAAUCCUCCCAAUGUCCUGCCUGCUUGUCCUGAAAAGCUGCCACGGAUCACCUGCACCCUGGGAGAUAAAUCACAGUCACGCCACAACCUCGGCGCCGCCGGCCAGGAGGACAGGAGAGGGAGCAGGGGGACACGAGGGGGAUAAAAGUUGUGCUGAGGUUCUCACAUCUGUUGCAUCUGAUCAUGGAUUCCUCAGCUGUGCACCAUGGUAAAACGUCUUCAUCAGUAUCUGUCAGAAGAGAGCUUUGCUGCGAAUCCAGACCUCUUCAGAUGCUCAAGGCAGAACACGCCGCCAUGUGAAGUGAGAUGCUGCUUCCUUCUAAAAAAUACCUGCUCUGAAUUUGCUAAACUAACACCCAGGAAGCCCCCCAUGGGACCAGCGAACCUCAAACCCACUGAGCACGUUCGCACUUCUGUUGACGAAGAUGACAGCUAAUGGUCGGCGUUGCUCAUUUUUACAAGGUGGUGCGCUCUAAUAUUUAAUUAUUUGGUGGUGAGUGAUUUCAAGGAACCAAAAGAGCUCUCUUGUGAUCAACUCCCCUAUAAACUAGUCCCAGUGAAUGAGGAUUCCUCAGAGAGGGAGAUGAGAGGUUGUGUUAGGGAGGAACACUGAUAAUUACUCACAGUAUUGUUUCUGUAGGCUACUGAAUAAUUCAUACAAAGCAUUCAUUUCCAUUCCAUCUGUCAGUCUAUUUGGAGCUCCUCUAUAGGAUAUCAUAUGAGAGAAAAAUAUGGUAUAGAUAUCAGUAUCAAUUGGCUGGUGUGAACUCUGCAAGAUAUAGGUUUAUCACAUCCAAUGUGCAGCAAGGAUAAAUUAAAUCAGUGUAUAGCCAUGAUAUUCACAAUACAUUGCAAUGAAAUAUUAAA